AGCGCUAUUUAGGUUAGAGUUUGAUCAUGGCUCAGGACAAACGCUGGCGGCGUGCGUAAAACAUGCAAGUCGCACGGCUCUUCGGAGCAGUGGCAGACGGCUGAGUAACGCGUAGGAAUCUACCCUUCGGUGGGGAAUAACGGGCCGAAAGGUCCGCUAAUACCGCAUACGACCGGGCGCAAGCCCGAGGAAAGCCUUUGGGCGCCGAAGGAGGAGCCUGCGUCCGAUUAGCUAGUUGGUGGGGUAACGGCCUACCAAGGCGACGAUCGGUAGCUGGUCUGAGAGGAUGACCAGCCAGACUGGGACUGGGACACGGCCCAGACUCCUACGGGAGGCAGCAGUUAGGAAUUUUGGGCAAUGGCCGCAAGGCUGACCCAGCAACGCCGCGUGGGGGACGAAGGCCUUCGGGUUGUAAACCCCUUUUCUCGGGGACGAUGAUGACGGUAGCCGAGGAAUAAGCCCCGGCUAACUACGUGCCAGCAGCCGCGGUAAUCGCCC
rnacentral:rRNA from 1 species